AGCGAACGCUGGCGGCGUACUUAACACAUGCAGGUCGGACGGGAUUCGGGUGCUUGCACCUGAUGAGAGUGGCGCACGGGUGCGUAACACGUAUGUAACCUACCUUAGUCAGGGGGAUAGCCUCUCGAAAGAGAGAUUAAGACCGCAUAACAUCAUUGAAUGGCAUCGUUUGAUGAUCAAAUAUUUAUAGGACUAAGAUGGGCAUGCGCGACAUUAGCUAGUUGGUGUGGUAACGGCAUACCAAGGCUACGAUGUUUAGGGGAUCUGAGAGGAUGACCCCCCACACUGGUACUGAGACACGGACCAGACUCCUACGGGAGGCAGCAGUAAGGAAUAUUGGUCAAUGGACGGAAGUCUGAACCAGCCAUGCCGCGUGCAGGAAGACGGCCCUAUGGGUUGUAAACUGCUUUUGCAGGGGAAUAAACCUCGGUACGUGUACCGAGUUGAAUGUACCUUGAGAAUAAGGAUCGGCUAACUCCGUGCCAGCCGCCGCCGUAACAC
rnacentral:rRNA from 1 species